UUUUUCAGAGUACGUAAGGUGAAAUUUGCAAAUUUCAGCUACGGUUAGUUCCCGGAAAUUAUGUGGCGUAGCCUUUGUUGAUGGACUUUGAGUUGUGCAGCAAGAAAGGAGCACCACCAUUCUCUUAGAUCAACAGAAACAUCCAAUUCCACUCGUCAGCUUUGACCUAUGGUGUAAUGGUGUUGUGGUAUGUGAUGCCACUACGGCGUGGAGUUUUUGGCUUCUGCCACCAGAUGACAUCUAGAGGCUCUGAGAUUGCUUCCUCACUGUGCUACACGAACCUCAUUCCCAGCGCGAGCGUCCACUGCAGUGACGAAGCCUUGCUCUCCUGUGAGACACCUUAGGUACUACACAGAGGACGCCAAUGACUGCCAGA